rnacentral:rRNA from 1 species
AUUGAACGCUGGCGGCAUGCCUUACACAUGCAAGUCGAACGGCAGCACGGGAGCAAUCCUGGUGGCGAGUGGCGAACGGGUGAGUAAAGUAUCGGAACGUGCCCAGUCGUGGGGGAUAACGUAGCGAAAGUUACGCUAAUACCGCAUACGAUCUAGGGAUGAAAGCGGGGGAUCGCAAGACCUCGCGCGAUUGGAGCGGCCGAUAACAGAUUAGGUAGUUGGUGGGGUAAAGGCUCACCAAGCCGACGAUCUGUAGCUGGUCUGAGAGGACGACCAGCCACACUGGGACUGAGACACGGCCCAGACUCCUACGGGAGGCAGCAGUGGGGAAUUUUGGACAAUGGGCGAAAGCCUGAUCCAGCCAUGCCGCGUGCAGGAUGAAGGCCUUCGGGUUGUAAACUGCUUUUGUACGGAACGAAAAGGUUUGGCCUAAUAAGCUGAGCUCAUGACGGUACCGUAAGAAUAAGCACCGGCUAACUACGUGCUAGCAGCAGCCGCCG